AUUGAACGCUGGCGGCAGGCCUAACACAUGCAAGUCGAGCGCCGUAGCAAUACGGAGCGGCAGACGGGAGAGUAACACGUGGGAACGUACCCUUUGGUUCGGAACAACCCAGGGAAACUUGGGCUAAUACCGGAUAAGCCCUCACGGGGAAAGAUUCAUCGCCGAAGGAUCGGCCCGCGUCUGAUUGGCUAGUUGGUGGGGUAAUGGCCCACCAAGGCGACGAACAGUAGCUGGUCUGAGAGGAUGAUCAGCCUCACUGGGACGGAGACACGGCCCAGACUCCUACGGGAGGCAGCAGUGGGGAAUAUUGGACAAUGGGCGCAAGCCUGAUCCAGCCAUGCCGCGUGGGUGAUGAAGGCCCUAGGGUUGUAAAGCCCUUUCGGCGGGGAAGAUAAUGACGGUACCCGCAGAAGAAGCCCCGGCUAACUUCGUGCCAGCCGCCGCCGUAACAC
rnacentral:rRNA from 1 species